rnacentral:lncRNA from 1 species
GAACCCACCUCUCUCUACAGACUCCACAAGGCUGGUCCUCUGCUCUACUUAACAGACCUUCUGGCCACCUGAAACCCCAAGAUGGCCUCCAGCUCAGCCCCUGAUGAAAACGAGUUUCAAUUUGGUUGCCCCCCUGCUCCCUGCCAGGACCCAUCGGAGCCCAGAGUUCUCUGCUGCACAGCCUGUCUCUCUGAGAACCUGAGGUGAGGGGACAAAGCCAAGGGCCGGUGGGAAAGACUGCCAGGGAGGAACCCCUGAUGGGAUUCGGGGCUGAAGGGAACUGGUGACUGUGAGCAGAUAACUUCACCUCUCUGGGCCUAAAUUUCCACACUCUUUUCUUCUGAAUACUGCCCAUGCCCUGGGCUGUGGGUGGAUGGAUCAGUAGCCACAGGAAGCUGUCAGUCAGUUCAACUACUGUUAAGAUGGAACUUUAAGCAUCACUCAGCCACUUACUGGGUGACCUGAUGUGGACCUUGGAUGUCUCCAAGCCCCAAUGUCUUAUCUGUGGAGCUGUUUUCUGCCUCACAGAAUUGUUCCAAGACUCCAUCAAUAACGUUCCCAGAACUUCUUACAGUAAUUAAUGUGUCUCCCCUUGGCAAACAUCAAACUGUGAUUAAAAAAAAAAAAAGAACAACACAAUUUUGUUCCAUUAGACCCAGUUAAAGGGGCAAAGAUACAGUAAGGUAUACAUUUAUGCUUAAGGAGUAAAUAAUUGGAUCAAUAGCAGCAUUAAUAGCCUGCCUUGAGCAAUUGUUAUGCACCUGCUGUGUGUCACAUACCCAGCCAGUGCCUGUGUCCUCAGACCAGCUUCCAGAAGGCAGUACAAUCGCUCCCCUAUUGCAUAGAUGAGAACUGCAAAGUCCCCCAGAGAGAUCAAGCCUCCUUGCCUCCUGUGAGUUUCCUGCUGAGGAUACUCCUAAGUGGCCUUGGGCCCUGAGCACGGUCUUUUCUUUGGGACUUUACAACGGUAAGAAUGUGGGGAAACUGAAUCAGCCAAAUGAGAAGUCCGAAUUUGGUGACUGAAGGGGAGGAGGCUGCAGGAGCAGGGCCAGAGGUUGUGGCUGUGGAAAGGCCAGGAAGAGGGUAGAGGCCGCAGUUGUUGGGCUUCCUGGACAGCUGAUGCUCUGAGCUUAUAUGGGGUUCUCCAACCCCCCACCUCACUGAAAACCUGGCAGAAGAAUAAGCAGAGCUGACUGGAGCAUGCAGGCAGGGGCCCAGCCUGAGGUGCUGUGCUCUGGAUUUGCCUUGCUAUCCUAUGGCCUCGGUCUCCUCACCUAGAAAGCAAUUUGCACACUUGCUGUCAGUCAGAGCUAUGUGCACAGAUAUCCUAUAGAGCACCCUUGUCUGAACCUGAUGCCCAUUUCCAGUAGACAGACUCUGAGGUCUCUUCUUGUCAAGAUAGGUCAACAUCCCCUGGCCAAAAAAGGAGAGACCAGAAGCAUAUACAGGGUACUGAGAAAAACAUACAGAGUUCCAAGCCCAGAACCCCUUGCCUAAUCCCUUGGGAUUGGACAUAUUGGGGGAGAUCCAAAAUUUUUGCAAAUUUGGGAAAGGCAAUAGAUAAUUCUUCCAAAAGAGACCCUGUAACCAGGCGCUUGCAUGGGUAUUUCUACAGUGGGACAAUCAUAACCACACCACAUAGAUAAGGAAGGGAACAUCAGGUGAAGGCAAGUGGAACUGCAAAAGCAGCUAACAGCAAGCUUCAGGUAACAGUGUACACCCAUGGUUUCGAAGACCUUAGCAGCAGGCCUCUAGGAUCGUGGAGUUACUGCAAGAGGCAAGGUCCGGGCUUUGAAGUCUGUCAGGAAGGUACGAGUGACCGAUGGCAGGUGCCAGCAAGGUGUGGUGCCUUAUAUGAGACACUUAUUCGUGUUUCCCCAGAGAUGAUGAGGAUCGGAUCUGUCCUAAAUGCAGAGCAGACAACCUCCAUCCUGUGAGCCCAGGAAGCCCUCUGACUCAGGAGAAGGUAUGUUAGCACAG